CCUACGGGAGGCAGCAGUGAGGAAUAUUGGUCAAUGGGCGGAAGCCUGAACCAGCCAAGUAGCGUGCAGGAUGACGGCCCUACGGGUUGUAAACUGCUUUUAUACGGGAAUAACGCGCCUUACGUGUAGGGCUUUGCAUGUACCGUAUGAAUAAGGACCGGCUAAUUCCGUGCCAGCAGCCGCGGUAAUACGGAAGGGUCGGGCGGUAUCCGGAUUUAUGGGGGUUAAAGGGAGCGUCGGCCGCAUGUCAAGCGUGCUGUGAAAUGUUCGGGCUCAACCCGGGCCUUGCAGCGCGGACGGGCGUGCUUGAGUCCGCGGGAAGCAGGCGGAAUU
rnacentral:rRNA from 1 species